UGUUCGACUGAACAAUGAAUUUUUAGGAGUAAAAUAAUUUGUAGGCGUGAAUUGUGCAAUUUAAUAAUUGGGGCAUGGAUGGAGAUUGUAGGAGAGUUGGGGCCUAACAUAGAAAUUUAAGGAAACAAUAAUGUGGAGGGGAUUGGGGGCUGAAUCUAAACCGAGGUUGUGGAUGCUCCAAGCAAUCGGAAAUCGGAAUAUCCCAAGAUAUCCCUUAUUCAGCGAAUAGCCGAAACAUAGAUCUACACUUAUAUUUUAAUGAUAAUGCGAAGAAGCCCAAUCACCGCCAUAUAGAUUUAAAGCUAUUUCGAAUCUUCCGGGAAAUUAGUUUGUUGCAAUAUGCAACUCCCCUCGCAACAAAUUCGCGUCGCCGAAGCCGUGAAUUCACCGCGCGAAGCAAUCGAUAUGGACAUUUGAAACUAACGGAUUGCUGGUCAAUCAAUCUUAGAGAUUCACAACAGUGUACAUGUCUGUUUAGACCUAUAUCUUCUUCAAGGAACACCAAUUUGCUUUGUUGAAUGUCUACAUCCCCCCAAAUGAGUGGAACCCCUGAAAUAUCUAAGUCUGAAUAUUUCAUCUAGCAGAUAACAUUAUAAUUUUUUUAUGUCUAUUGCAGAGAGGAAAUUGCAUCCUUGAUUUUAGAAUAUAUUGGAAAUCUUAAUGGAUCAAUGUUGCUGUAUGGCUGUGUGGGACCUCUUGAUGGCAUCAUUAGAAGUAGACCCGGAGACAGAAAGCGACCCCAUCUUAAAAUUGUUGCAAAUACAUGUAAGUAUUUAUUAAUCCAUUUCUGUCUGCUUACAGAUAUGCAAAAACUAACAGGCAGAAUGAUUUCGUGUACCCGAGCAGUUGUAAUAUACCAUACAUAAAAAUGAUUUGUCCGCAUCAUCUCACCUAUAUUUAUCAUUACAGUUAGAAAUAGAAUGGGGCCAGGCCAGGCCAGGCCAUCGAACUUCUCCCCUGAGUUUGGUACCAAAUUUAUCACCACAUUUUUCGUACCAUAACCAUGUAAAUGUAAUGAAGUUAAGGAUGGAAAGGUUGGCAUACAAGCAUUAAACAAAGAUGAAGCAAUAAUUUCCGGACAAGCGACCAUACAGCUUUGGAUGGAUUAUCUCAUAGAACAUGGUGUUAUGCUUUAUGCUUAUGCACAGCGAAGAAAGCUAAGGCUUUUGAUUACUUUAAUAAUUUUCAUUUGCUUUCUUGCACCAUUAUUUGGUUAUUUGAGUCAUAUUACUAUUAAUUCUCUA